CCUCAUCUGAAGGUGCUGGCGGAUAUGUGAAGGAACACAGUGCACCCAGAUAGGAUACGCCGACCGCCUGGGCAACUCGU
rnacentral:ncRNA from 19 species